AUUGAACGCUGGCGGCAUGCCUUACACAUGCAAGUCGAACGGCAGCACGGGGCAACCUGGUGGCGAGUGGCGAACGGGUGAGUAAUAUAUCGGAACAUACCCUAGAGUGGGGGAUAAUGUAGCGAAAGUUACGCUAAUACCGCAUACGAACUAAGGUUGAAAGUGGGGGAUCUUCGGACCUCAUGCUCAUGGAGUGGCCGAUAUCUGAUUAGCUAGUUGGUGAGGUAAAGGCUCACCAAGGCGACGAUCAGUAGCUGGUUUGAGAGAACGACCAGCCACACUGGAACUGAGACACGGUCCAGACUCCUACGGGAGGUAGCAGUGAGGAAUAUUGGACAAUGGGCGCAAGCUGAUCCAGCCAUGCCGCGUGCAGGAUGACGGUCCUAUGGAUUGUAAACUGCUUUUGUACAGGAAGAAACACUACUUCGUGAAGUAGCUUGACGGUACUGUAAAGAAU
rnacentral:rRNA from 1 species